GGAGUGCGGUCGCAANGGCUGAAACUCAAAAGGANUUGACGGGGGCCCGCACAAGCGGUGGAGCAUGUGGUUCAAUUCGACGCAACGCGAAGAACNUUACCUGGGUUUGAACUGNUGGGGACCGGUGCAGAGAUGUACCUUUCCUUCGGGACUCCAGUAGAGGUGCUGCAUGGCUGUCGUCAGCUCGUGUCGUGAGAUGUUGGGUUAAGUCCCGCAACGAGCGCAACCCUUGCCCUCUGUUGCCACCAGGUAAUGCUGAGCACUCUGAGGGGACUGCCGGUGAUAAACCGGAGGAAGGUGGGGAUGACGUCAAGUCCUCAUGGCCUUUAUGCCCAGGGCUACACACGUGCUACAAUGGCUGGUACAAAGGGUCGCAAAACCGUGAGGUGGAGCUAAUCCCAAAAAGCCGGCCCCAGUUCGGAUUGGAGUCUGCAACUCGACUCCAUGAAGUUGGAAUCGCUAGUAAUCGCGGAUCAGCAGGCCGCGGUGAAUACGUUCCCGGGCCUUGUACACACUGCCCGU
rnacentral:rRNA from 1 species